GCUUUGGGUUAUCAACAUGAUCAAUGAUGUUAGCCACCUUGACCGCUGUUGAUUCAGCUAACAAGAUUGUGUUCUCAGGUUCCAUGGGUUUAAAGUGUUGCUACUUUUUGUUGGAUCUUGGCUAAUCGAAGAGAACCUUCUCAUUUUGGUGGUUUGUGACAAGGUGCAUGGGAAGCUCUACACCACCACCCUUCGUUGAUGGUGAAGUAGAUUUCCUCUAGGUUCAAUAGUUUCAUCUUGCCACUAGAUCCUCUCAUUAGGUCGAGUCCUUUUUUGCUGGCUGUUAUAGUAUAUGCUAAUUUAGAAAAUUACACUUCAAAGAAUAUAGAAUUUUACUAUCAAAGAGUUAAUAUUGUCGAGUUGUUUUUAAGCAAUCUUGUUCUCAUCUAUCAAGAGUAAGGAUAUUAUAAUCUCAUUUUUCCUUUUAACUGUGUUGUCUGGUCAUUUCUUCUCUGCAGUUGUAUUAAUUCUCUGGUAUAGUGAAUCUUGCUCGUUACUCUAGGUCUUGUCUAAUGGAUGAUAUCUUAAACACUGGAUUAGUGUUCACUUCUUAAAUACAUAGAAGUGGUGAUCAUUAACUUAGUGUUUAAGAUAUAUUCUGUUAGACGAGACUCAUACAAAGGGUAAGAUUCACUAUAUCAGAGAACACAACUAUGAAAAGAAAGGACACACAACAAAAUUAAAAGGAAAAAAAGAAAAAGAGAAAUAGAGAUUAGAGUAUCUAUACUCUUGAUAGUUGAUGACAAGACCGCCUAAAGAACAACUCAACAACAUUGAUUACCCUGAGCAUAAUGAAGAGAAACUGCUAGUUCUUCCAUGGCAGGAGCAUUUUUAAGUGGA